UUUGUGUUUGUGGCCGAGGCUGUGGGCCAGAAGGUUCUGUGGUCUUCGGGUCUGUGUGUGUGUGUGGUUCUUUUGGGCUAUGCAUAUAUAUGUACAUCUAUUAUAUAGGUGUAUGUGUGUGUGCGAGUGUGUGAAAGGGUUUGUUUGUGGGUACAUAUGGUUCUGUGGUAUUAUAUAGGUGUAUGUGUGUGUGUGAGUGUGUGAAAGUGUUUGUUUGUGGGUACAUAUGGUUCUGUGGUAUUAUAUAGGUGUAUGUGUGUGUGCCAGUGUGUGAAAGUGUUUGUUUGUGGGUACAUAUGGUUCUGUGGUAUUAUAUAGGUGUAUGUGUGUGUGCGAGUGUGUGAAAGUGUUUGUUUGUGGGUACAUAUGGUUCUGUGGUAUUAUAUAGGUGUAUGUGUGUGUGCCAGUGUGUGAAAGUGUUUGUUUGUGGGUACAUAUGGUUCUGUGGUAUUAUAUAGGUGUAUGUGUGUGUGCG
ensembl:lncRNA